AUUGAACGCUGGCGGCAGGCCUAACGCAUGCAAGUCGAGCGGAUGAAGGGAGCUUGCUCCUGGAUUCAGCGGCGGACGGGUGAGUAAUGCCUAGGAAUCUGCCUGGUAGUGGGGGAUAACGUCCGGAAACGGGCGCUAAUACCGCAUACGUCCUGAGGGAGAAAGUGGGGGAUCUUCGGACCUCACGCUAUCAGAUGAGCCUAGGUCGGAUUAGCUAGUUGGUGGGGUAAAGGCCUACCAAGGCGACGAUCCGUAACUGGUCUGAGAGGAUGAUCAGUCACACUGGAACUGAGACACGGUCCAGACUCCUACGGGAGGCAGCAGUGGGGAAUAUUGGACAAAGGGCGAAAGCCUGAUCCAGCCAUGCCGCGUGUGUGAAGAAGGUCUUCGGAUUGUAAAGCACUUUAAGUUGGGAGGAAGGGCAGUAAGUUAAUACCUUGCUGUUUUGACGUUACCAACAGAAUAAGCACCGGCUAACUUCGUG
rnacentral:rRNA from 1 species